CCGUCACACCACGGGAGUUGGAGACGCCCGAAGCCGAUUAUCUAACCUUUUGGAAGAAGUCGUCGAAGGGGGAAUCAAUAACUGGGGUGAAGUCGUAACAAGGUAGCCGUAUCGGAAGGGGCGGCUGGAUCACCUCCUUUCUAAGGAGA
rnacentral:rRNA from 1 species